CUGUUGUGUUGUGAUAAAGAGUUUGUGAAAGAGCGUUCUCUGGUGGGGAAAGUGGAUGCGGACGGGAAGAUCAAGCACAAGUGGGAGAACCUCAAACAAAAAUACAAGGGUGGUUCGAGUGGUCAUCACCCUGGUCAUGGAAGACCCCCUCCUCCACCUCUGGCUCCACCAAAUCCCCAUUGUUGAUGGAGAGGUUGUGGAGGAAGACACAGGUCGACACCACUGCAGGAACAAAGGGCCUUGAGGAAGAUGCUGCGCCACCGCGUCUUCAUCAUGCCAACUGCCCUUUCCACCACACACCGUGCUUUGGCAUGAUG